rnacentral:rRNA from 1 species
GACGAACGCUGGCGGCGUGCUUAACACAUGCAAGUCGAACGGAAAGGCCCUGCUUUUGUGGGGUGCUCGAGUGGCGAACGGGUGAGUAACACGUGAGUAACCUGCCCUUGACUUUGGGAUAACUUCAGGAAACUGGGGCUAAUACCGGAUAGGAGCUCCUGCUGCAUGGUGGGGGUUGGAAAGUUUCGGCGGUUGGGGAUGGACUCGCGGCUUAUCAGCUUGUUGGUGGGGUAGUGGCUUACCAAGGCUUUGACGGGUAGCCGGCCUGAGAGGGUGACCGGCCACAUUGGGACUGAGAUACGGCCCAGACUCCUACGGGAGGCAGCAGUGGAGAAUAUUGCACAAUGGGCGGAAGCCUAAUGCAGCAACGCAGCGUGCGGGAUGAGGGCCUUCGGGUUGUAAACCGCUUUCGCCUGUGACGAAGCGUGAGUGACGGUAAUGGGUAAAGAAGCACCGGCUAACUACGUG